GCCAGAGUUAUGAUCGGGGAUCUUGACUGAAGCAAUAGUCUUUGUGGAUGGCACUAUUUCAUUUAAAGUGAUGAUAGUAGAUAUAUUUGAUUCUGUAUCAACUUUAACAUCAAAUGUAACAUUCCUGUACUUGUACAAUGCUGCAAUAUCACCAGUUGAUAGUCCCCCUUUCUUCACUGCGGUUGAGGUAAGGACCACUCCAGCAUCGCUGUAAGUUGAGACGGAGAAUUUCUGAUCGGAGAUGUAGUCCCUGGUCAGAAGAUCUUUAGCCUUCUUGCCGAUGUCGGAGAACAGGCCGGGUCCCUUGCUCAUCUUGGGGAUCGGAAUUG
rnacentral:misc_RNA from 1 species